rnacentral:tRNA from 1 species
CAGGAUAUAGCUUAAAUAAAGCAUUUUGCUUACACCAAAAAAAUACCCAUAUUGGAUUGUCCUG